rnacentral:rRNA from 1 species
UACGAAGGGUGCAAGCGUUACUCGGAAUUACUGGGCGUAAAGCGUGCGUAGGUGGUCGUUUUAAGUCUGUUGUGAAAGCCCUGGGCUCAACCUGGGAACUGCAGUGGAAACUGGACGACUAGAGUGUGGUAGAGGGUAGCGGAAUUCCCGGUGUAGCAGUGAAAUGCGUAGAGAUGUGGAGGAACACCGAUGGCGAAGGCAGCCCCUGGGCCAAUACUGACGCUCAUGCACGAAAGCGUGGGGAGCAACAGG